UCUUGAUUUAAUUUUGAACGAGUGGCGGACGGGUGAGUAACACGUGGGUAACCUGCCCUUAAGUGGGGGAUACAUUUGGAAACAGAUGCUAAUACCGCAUAAAUCCAGAACCGCAUGGUUCUUGGCUGAAAGAUGGCGUAAGCUAUCGCUUUUGGAUGGACCCGCGGCGUAUUAGCUAGUUGGUGAGGUAACGGCUCACCAAGGCAAUGAUACGUAGCCGAACUGAGAGGUUGAUCGGCCACAUUGGGACUGAGACACGGCCCAAACUCCUACGGGAGGCAGCAGUAGGGAAUCUUCCACAAUGGACGCAAGUCUGAUGGAGCAACGCCGCGUGAGUGAAGAAGGCUUUCGGGUCGUAAAACUCUGUUGUUGGAGAAGAAUGGUCGGCAGAGUAACUGUUGUCGGCGUGACGGUAUCCAACCAGAAAGCCACGGCUAACUACGUGCCAGCAGCCGCGGUAAUACGUAGGUGGCAAGCGUUAUCCGGAUUUAUUGGGCGUAAAGCGAGCGCAGGCGGUUUUUUAAGUCUGAUGUGAAAGCCCUCGGCUUAACCGAGGAAGUGCAUCGGAAACUGGGAAACUUGAGUGCAGAAGAGGACAGUGGAACUCCAUGUGUAGCGGUGAAAUGCGUAGAUAUAUGGAAGAACACCAGUGGCGAAGGCGGCUGUCUGGUCUGUAACUGACGCUGAGGCUCGAAAGCAUGGGUAGCGAACAGGAUUAGAUACCCUGGUAGUCCAUGCCGUAAACGAUGAAUGCUAGGUGUUGGAGGGUUUCCGCCCUUCAGUGCCGCAGCUAACGCAUUAAGCAUUCCGCCUGGGGAGUACGACCGCAAGGUUGAAACUCAAAGGAAUUGACGGGGGCCCGCACAAGCGGUGGAGCAUGUGGUUUAAUUCGAAGCAACGCGAA
rnacentral:rRNA from 1 species